CAGAGUGUCAGGUUCAUAAAUAACUCCACCUUCAUGCUGGCCCUCUGUUCCAAUCCUAUCAAGGAAGGCAAGAUGAAAUUUCGUGCCUCAGCAGGAGAGAUUGGAAGCCUAACCUCUGGGUCGUGGUUAUGGAGGGCUCAUUCUGGCAUUAGAGAGCUUGAGUCUGAAUCCCAUGUUUUGCCACUCACCAUCUGUGUUACCUUGGGGGAAAGUCAAACAUCAUUCUGCAUCCAACCCAGUGGAGUAUGCAGGAAAACCACAUUCCUGUCUCUAGACCCAUCAGUGUUCAACAGGCCAUACUUUUCCUCCUGAAUCCUUAUUGUCCACUGAGAUUCUUGCUUUGGAACCUGUGCCUGCAAGAUUGGAGGCUCUCGGUCUAUCUACACAGGGAAGCUAGCUGAACUGAAUUGAUUCAAAAUAAAAAUGAUUGCAUUCAAUAAAAUUUGGCCA
ensembl:lncRNA